AGUGAACGCUGGCGGUAGGCCUAACACAUGCAAGUCGAACGGCAGCACAGUAAGAGCUUGCUCUUACGGGUGGCGAGUGGCGGACGGGUGAGGAAUACAUCGGAAUCUACUUUUUCGUGGGGGAUAACGUAGGGAAACUUACGCUAAUACCGCAUACGACCUACGGGUUAAAGCAGGGGAUCUUCGGACCUUGCGCGAUUGAAUGAGCCGAUGUCGGAUUAGCUAGUUGGCGGGGUAAAGGCCCACCAAGGCGACGAUCCGUAGCUGGUCUGAGAGGAUGAUCAGCCACACUGGAACUGAGACACGGUCCAGACUCCUACGGGAGGCAGCAGUGGGGAAUAUUGGACAAUGGGCGCAAGCCUGAUCCAGCAAUACCGCGUGGGUGAAGAAGGCCUUCGGGUUGUAAAGCCCUUUUGUUGGGAAAGAAAAGCAGCAGGUUAAUACCCCGCUGUUCUGACGGUACCCAAAGAAUAAGCACCGGCUAACUUCGUG
rnacentral:rRNA from 1 species